rnacentral:rRNA from 1 species
CGACACACUAUCGUUAACUGAAUACAUAGGUUAACGAGGCGAACCGGGGGAACUGAAACAUCUAAGUACCCCGAGGAAAAGAAAUCAACCGAGAUUCCCCCAGUAGCGGCGAGCGAACGGGGAGCAGCCCGGAGUCUGAAUCAGCUUGUGUGUUAGUGGAACGGUCUGGAAAGUCCGACGGUACAGGGUGAUAGUCCCGUACACGAAAACACACUUGCUGUGAACUCGAAGAGUAGGGCGGGACACGUGGUAUCCUGUCUGAAUAUGGGGGGACCAUCCUCCAAGGCUAAAUACUCCUGACUGACCGAUAGUGAACCAGUACCGUGAGGGAAAGGCGAAAAGAACCCCGGCGAGGGGAGUGAAAAAGAACCUGAAACCGUGUACGUACAAGCAGUGGGAGCACCUUCGGGUGUGACUGCGUACCUUUUGUAUAAUGGGUCAGCGACUUAUAUUCUGUAGCAAGGUUAACCGUAUAGGGGAGCCGAAGGGAAACCGAGUCUUAACUGGGCGUUAAGUUGCAGGGUAUAGACCCGAAACCCGGUGAUCUAGCCAUGGGCAGGUUGAAGGUUGGGUAACACUAACUGGAGGACCGAACCGACUAAUGUUGAAAAAUUAGCGGAUGACCUGUGGCUGGGGGUGAAAGGCCAAUCAAACCGGGAGAUAGCUGGUUCUCCCCGAAAGCUAUUUAGGUAGCGCCUCGUGAACUCAUCUUCGGGGGUAGAGCACUGUUUCGGCUAGGGGGCCAUCCCGGCUUACCAACCCGAUGCAAACUACGAAUACCGAAGAAUGUUAUCACGGGAGACACACGGCGGGUGCUAACGUCCGUCGUGAAGAGGGAAACAACCCAGACCGCCAGCUAAGGUCCCAAAGUCAUGGUUAAGUGGGAAACGAUGUGGGAAGGCACAGACAGCCAGGAUGUUGGCUUAGAAGCAGCCAUCAUUUAAAGAAAGCGUAAUAGCUCACUGGUCGAGUCGGCCUGCGCGGAAGAUGUAACGGGGCUAAACCAUGCACCGAAGCUGCGGCAGCGACACUAUGUGUUGUUGGGUAGGGGAGCGUUCUGUAAGCCGUUGAAGGUGUGCUGUGAGGCAUGCUGGAGGUAUCAGAAGUGCGAAUGCUGACAUAAGUAACGAUAAAGCGGGUGAAAAGCCCGCUCGCCGGAAGACCAAGGGUUCCUGUCCAACGUUAAUCGGGGCAGGGUGAGUCGACCCCUAAGGCGAGGCCGAAAGGCGUAGUCGAUGGGAAACAGGUUAAUAUUCCUGUACUUGGUGUUACUGCGAAGGGGGGACGGAGAAGGCUAUGUCAGCCGGGCGACGGUUGUCCCGGUUUAAGCAUGUAGGCGGAGGUUCCAGGUAAAUCCGGUACCUUUUAACGCUGAGGUGUGAUGACGAGGCACUACGGUGCUGAAGUGAUAAAUGCCCUGCUUCCAGGAAAAGCCUCUAAGCAUCAGGUAACACGAAAUCGUACCCCAAACCGACACAGGUGGUCAGGUAGAGAAUACCAAGGCGCUUGAGAGAACUCGGGUGAAGGAACUAGGCAAAAUGGUGCCGUAACUUCGGGAGAAGGCACGCUGAUAUGUAGGUGAAGCCCCUGCGGGCGGAGCUGAAAUCAGUCGAAGAUACCAGCUGGCUGCAACUGUUUAUUAAAAACACAGCACUGUGCAAACACGAAAGUGGACGUAUACGGUGUGACGCCUGCCCGGUGCCGGAAGGUUAAUUGAUGGGGUUAGCGGCAACGCGAAGCUCUUGAUCGAAGCCCCGGUAAACGGCGGCCGUAACUAUAACGGUCCUAAGGUAGCGAAAUUCCUUGUCGGGUAAGUUCCGACCUGCACGAAUGGCGUAAUGAUGGCCAGGCUGUCUCCACCCGAGACUCAGUGAAAUUGAACUCGCUGUGAAGAUGCAGUGUACCCGCGGCAAGACGGAAAGACCCCGUGAACCUUUACUAUAGCUUGACACUGAACACUGGUCCUUGAUGUGUAGGAUAGGUGGGAGGCUUUGAAGCGUGGACGCCAGUCUGCGUGGAGCCAUCCUUGAAAUACCACCCUUUAAUGGCUGGUGUUCUAACGUAGACCCGUGAUCCGGGUUGCGGACAGUGUCUGGUGGGUAGUUUGACUGGGGCGGUCUCCUCCCAAAGAGUAACGGAGGAGCACGAAGGUUGGCUAAUCCUGGUCGGACAUCAGGAGGUUAGUGCAAUGGCAUAAGCCAGCUUGACUGCGAGCGUGACGGCGCGAGCAGGUGCGAAAGCAGGUCAUAGUGAUCCGGUGGUUCUGAAUGGAAGGGCCAUCGCUCAACGGAUAAAAGGUACUCCGGGGAUAACAGGCUGAUACCGCCCAAGAGUUCAUAUCGACGGCGGUGUUUGGCACCUCGAUGUCGGCUCAUCACAUCCUGGGGCUGAAGUAGGUCCCAAGGGUAUGGCUGUUCGCCAUUUAAAGUGGUACGCGAGCUGGGUUUAGAACGUCGUGAGACAGUUCGGUCCCUAUCUGCCGUGGGCGCUGGAGAAUUGAGGGGGGCUGCUCCUAGUACGAGAGGACCGGAGUGGACGCAUCACUGGUGUUCGGGUUGUCAUGCCAAUGGCACUGCCCGGUAGCUAAAUGCGGAAGAGAUAAGUGCUGAAAGCAUCUAAGCACGAAACUUGCCCCGAGAUGAGUUCUCCCUGAGACUUUAAGUCUCCUGAAGGAACGUUGAAGACGACGACGUUGAUAGGUCGGGUGUGUAAGCGCAGCGAUGCGUUGAGCUAACCGAUACUAAUGAACCGUGAGGCUUAACCUUACAACGCCGAAG